AUUCAGAUCAGUAUUCAGUGAGAUUUUUUUAAAGUAGGAUUUUGAAAUCUUGACUUCAAAAUGAUUGUGAUUGCUGUUUUUGUCGGACUUGUUUGUAUGGGCACGGUUCUGGCCGAGUCUGAGCCCUGCCCUACGGGUUGCCCACGUAUCUGGGCCCCCGUGUGCGGCUCGGACGGUAAGACCUACCCCAACGCAUGUGAGUUGAGAAACGCCAACUGCGACAAUCCAGAAGUG